rnacentral:tRNA from 1 species
GACCCCUUAGCUCAGUGGUAGAGUGUGUGAUUCCAGUCCACAAGGUCAUCCGUUCAAGUCGGGUAGGGGUCA